UACGGAGGGGCUAGCGUUGUUCGGAAUUACUGGGCGUAAAGCGCGCGUAGGCGGCUUUGUAAGUCAGAGGUGAAAUCCCGGGGCUCAACUCCGGAACUGCCUUUGAAACUGCAUCGCUUGAAUCCGGGAGAGGUGAGUGGAAUUCCGAGUGUAGAGGUGAAAUUCGUAGAUAUUCGGAAGAACACCAGUGGCGAAGGCGGCUCACUGGACCGGUAUUGACGCUGAGGUGCGAAAGCGUGGGGAGCAAACGGG
rnacentral:rRNA from 1 species